rnacentral:lncRNA from 1 species
AGUAAUCCAAGAAUCAAUUUCAUGCCAUCUUGUUCCAUCCCGUUUGGAUUUGCAAUUUUUGGUUGUGUUCUUCACGUUCUACGUUUCUUCCCUCUCACCCCUUUCACGUUUUUGUUCGAUUCAUGACUUGUGGGGUGUUUUGAGUCAAACCAAUUAUUUGAAGAUGAAUUAGAAUGUGAGUUGAACAUUUCCACCAAAGGGAUUUGAUUGAAACCUCACGAGUUCAUAGAUCGGGAUGAUUCAAGUUUUGGGGUUGAGAAAAUAGAGUUCUUCACAAGAUUUGAAAUUCACCUUGAUUGGCAAAUCUUUUGGGGAUAUUUUCUUAGGAUAAGCUUCUUUACUAUGUUGUGAAGCUAUGGUUCAAAUUUUGUAAUUUUUGGAGGUUGUUUGACCCCGUUUUGGAUUUUUCUACCAUCUUCGCGCAGGCUGUUUUGGAAUUCCGGAAAUCUCCGAACAUAAUUCCGAACCUCGGAAAUUUCCGCACGUCCAUAAUUUUCUGAAGCUUCCUCCGGAUUUUUCCA